rnacentral:rRNA from 1 species
GCUUGGGCUUCUUUGCUGACGAGUGGCGGACGGGUGAGUAAUGUCUGGGAAACUGCCUGAUGGAGGGGGAUAACUACUGGAAACGGUAGCUAAUACCGCAUAACGUCGCAAGACCAAAGAGGGGGACCUUCGGGCCUCUUGCCAUCGGAUGUGCCCAGAUGGGAUUAGCUAGUAGGUGGGGUAACGGCUCACCUAGGCGACGAUCCCUAGCUGGUCUGAGAGGAUGACCAGCCACACUGGAACUGAGACACGGUCCAGACUCCUACGGGAGGCAGCAGUGGGGAAUAUUGCACAAUGGGCGCAAGCCUGAUGCAGCCAUGCCGCGUGUAUGAAGAAGGCCUUCGGGUUGUAAAGUACUUUCAGCGGGGAGGAAGGGAGUAAAGUUAAUACCUUUGCUCAUUGACGUUACCCGCAGAAGAAGCACCGGCUAACUCCGUGCCAGCAGCCGCGGUAAUACGGAGGGUGCAAGCGUUAAUCGGAAUUACUGGGCGU